GCAACAAAAUUGCUGCAACUUCCAACAAAAUCUGAUUUCAACGCAUGUUAAGUAUAAAUGUCGACACAUGGCUGCCUCGUGAUUUGUAAUUUAUGUGUAAACACUUUCAAUUAACAUGCGUUGAAAUCAGAUUUUGUUGCAAGUUGCAGCAAUUUUGUUG
rnacentral:miRNA from 1 species